UCCCUGGUCAGCCGCCACGAACCCUAUCCCCCUUUCCAUAUGAUCCCACGGCCACUACGCCCCUCCCGCAUCGGCCCCUUCUCAUCCUCCAUCCCUUGCUUCUCUACUCUCAUGCGAAGGAGGAAGAUGCAAACAACAUUGGCUUUGGGAGAUAGCUCGUCCGUCUGCAGGCAAAGGCGACGGGACCGGCAUCCUGGGCGGAGGCUGGACUCCAGGAACUAGCCGAGGUAGUCCUCGCCAAGGAAGUGGGCGACAGCGCAAUGUAUAAAAGAGGACACCCGUGUGUAGCUCCGCCAUCGCCUUCCUCCAUUGCUGAUCUCCAUCUUAUCUCUUUCUGCAAGGGGCUCAUCCUUCUGGGUGCUUAGCCAUCGAUUAAGAUUUGGAGGGAGACCAGGAGACCCCGGCAAAAACGAGUGUGCUAACGGAGGCUCCGGGGAUGCAGGGUGAUAGGGCCCAGUAUAUCCUCUUAUUGUGCUAUUGGCUUCCAGAUGGAAUUUGGACAAGGAAAAGGAGACCCAUGCGAAAUCGAGCGUCCUGGUGGUGCCUCGACCAAUGCGGGCCGAUGGAUAGCACCGUUGAGCAUGGUGCUUGGUGCAACGCGCUGGAUAGGUGGCAGGAGAGGUGACCAUGGGUGUGGCUUGGGCAGCUCCACACACAUCAAGCGACGGCGAGCGCAUCCGACGCCACCAUGCUGGUGGUCCCGGAGAACAAGGUAUACAUCUGAGGUAUGAAGAUGAUAGGGCAGUGGUUGGAAAAUUCGUUGGUACAAAAUUCAUUGACAAACUGCAACUGGCUUAUUGAUACGUCUCCAACGUAUCUAUAAUUUUUUAUUGCUUCAUGCUAUUAUAUUACCCGUUUUGGAUGUUU